AUGUAGAGAAUAUGUGGUAACCCUAAUGAGUGGAGGAAGGACCAAUUUAUAGAGGUUAUGACGUAAUCUAGUACGUCC